UACGAAGGGGGCUAGCGUUGCUCGGAUUUACUGGGCGUAAAGGGCGCGUAGGCGGACAGUUAAGUUGGGGGUGAAAGCCCGGGGCUCAACCUCGGAAUUGCCUUCAAUACUGGCUGUCUUGAGUGUGAGAGAGGUGUGUGGAACUACGAGUGUAGAGGUGAAAUUCGUAGAUAUUCGGAAGAACACCAGUGGCGAAGGCGACACACUGGCUCACUACUGACGCUGAGGCGCGAAAGCGUGGGGAGCAAACAGG
rnacentral:rRNA from 1 species